rnacentral:rRNA from 1 species
CGGCAGCACGGAGCUUGCUCUGGUGGCGAGUGGCGAACGGGUGAGUAAUAUAUCGGAACGUACCCUAGAGUGGGGGAUAACGUAGCGAAAGUUACGCUAAUACCGCAUACGAUCUAAGGAUGAAAGUGGGGGAUCGCAAGACCUCAUGCUCGUGGAGCGGCCGAUAUCUGAUUAGCUAGUUGGUAGGGUAAAAGCCUACCAAGGCAUCGAUCAGUAGCUGGUCUGAGAGGACGACCAGCCACACUGGAACUGAGACACGGUCCAGACUCCUACGGGAGGCAGCAGUGGGGAACUUUGGACAAUGGGCGAAAGCCUGAUCCAGCAAUGCCGCGUGAGUGAAGAAGGCCUUCGGGUUGUAAAGCUCUUUUGUCAGGGAAGAAACGGUGGGAGCUAAUAUCUCUUGCUAAUGACGGUACCUGAAGAAUAAGCACCGGCUAACUACGUGCCAGCAGCCGCGGUAAU